UACGUAGGGGGCGAGCGUUGUCCGGAGUUACUGGGCGUAAAGGGCACGCAGGCGGUCCUGCGCGUUUCGCGUGACAGCGGGUGGCUUAACUGCCCGAGGGUGCGAAAGACGGUGGGACUUGAGGGCCAGAGAGGGACCUGGAAUUCCGGGUGGAGUGGUGAAAUGCGUAGAUAUCCGGAGGAACACCACAGGCGAAGGCAGGGUCCUGGCUGGUCGCUGACGCUGAGGUGCGAAAGCUAGGGGAGCGAACGGG
rnacentral:rRNA from 1 species